AAUUUUUGGGGCCGUUGACGAGUCAUUAACAACUUUUCUUUCGCUCUUUUCCCUCGUUCAAUUUUCUGUAUUCCUCAAUUGCAUCCUAAUGCAGAACAUGAAAGCCAGGCACUUGAGUUGCUAGUUUCUCUGCAACAAUCUCUACUACUGUUGUUUCUGUAAUUCUCAUAUCCUGUUCUUUAUUAUUUUUUUUGGGGUUUAUUUGGGUUCAAUUCUCAUUUCGUACAUCUUGUUAAACAUGAUGUUUUUCUGUCCGCAUUAGUUCUUGGGUUAGCAAGUUGAUAGUUAUGUAAUGAUCAAGCCUUGUUGAAUUGGUAAUUUAGUCGAGUGAUUAAAUUAUAAUCUUAAAGUAUUGGUUGCUGCUUAUGAAUUUUUAGAUGAACUAUGAUGUUGAGUAGGGGAAAUGUUUUCGUUUUUUAUUGGUACGUUUUUCUGAGUAUAGCCGGGAGGAAGAAGGGUAAGAUGAUGAAAAUACUUACUGGGAAAGAAUGAAAAGAUGAAUUUGAUUUUUGCCUUUAAUUAGUUUACAGAUGUUGCCACACUUAAGCAGAAUAAUUUUUCUCAUUUGGGAUUUUAGCUUGGUGGUCGAAUUCCAAAUUUGGUGGCUUUUCUUGGUUGGGCAUUUCCAUAACAUGUUGAAAGUGCAAAAGAAGCCAAAUGAAAAGGAGAGAUGGAUGCAUGUUAAGGGGUAUUGAAGUAAUAGGAAAGUUAAUGAGGCGCCUUUUUUGACAAUGCCCACUUUCUUAAGUAUAUAUUAACUCGUAUGUGAUAAAGAAAUGAUCUUUUUCUGAAGGCAAAAUAUCUUUGAUCAAUCUGGUGGUGCCAUGUAGUAUGUAACUCUUUGUCGAUCGUUAAUUGAUCAAUCUGGUGGCAGCAUGAUUAUCCUGAUGGGUUAAUUGGCAAUGAGGUGCUUCAAGCAGAGGAGUCGAACCCUAACGUAUUGCUAGGAGGAAGAAAGGUAGUAUAAUCGAAAUACAUGUUGGAAAAGAAUGAAAAGAUGAAUUGGAUUAUUGCCCUGAAUCAGUGUAGAGAUAUUGUCACACUUCAGCAGAAUAGUCCUUUUCUUUUGGGUUUGUAAUUUGGUGGUCAUAUUCGUAGUUUAGCAGCUUUUGUUGAGUGACUAUUUCAAAAGCAUGCCGAAAGUUGCAGAGGAAGCUAACUUAAAAGGCUGGAUGCAUGGUAAGGGUAUUGGAGUAAUAGGAAAGUUAACAACAUGGUGUCUAUCGUAUGCACACUUUCUCAGGCACAUAUUUUUGUGUAUGUGAUAAAGAAACAAUUUUUGCAUAAAGGCAGAAUAGUUUUGAUCAAUAUGGUGAUAUUAUGCAGGAAUAGAAAGAUGUUGCGUCUACAAGUCCACAGAGCAAAGAACCUUAUUUGACUUAGGGCCAUAGCAUGUAUGCUGUGACAUGCUCUCACCUUGAAGUAUUUCACUUCCAUGUCAAAUUGUGGAGCUGCACUAUUGGCUAGCCAAAACACUGGGAAAUUCUGUACAAAAGUCUGCCACUUUUCUAUUGGAGAAAAUUACUGUGUCUUCUCUACAAUGUUGUAAUUUAGAGUCUGAGACCGAUGAACUAUCUGCUUUGCCUUCAGUGUUGUUGCCACAAGGUGUCUUCUUUCUUAUGCAGAUACAUGAAAAUUUGCAUGUGUGGUCUAUAUGAUGUAUUGCUCAGGCCUUUAAUGUGCUUUUCUUAUGCAGAUGGAGGAAAAUUGUGGCUGUAAUGGCUUACGUUUUGGAGGUUUUUUUGAUACAGUUGAGGGCGUGGAGCUGAGGGUACUGGUUUCACGUUAAGAUUAUAACACAGAGACAAGAUUCACUUGCUCUAACUAUUAUUCAAUCUCUGCUAUUGCAAUUUACAUUUUAACGUAAUGAAUGAUUAUAAGGUAUGAGUCAGUGCUGUCCAGAAAAAGAACUUCUUAGUCAGUGCAUUAUCUUGUGUACAAUUACUGAGACAUUGGAUUUUUAUGCAUAAAUGAUGAAUUAGUGUUUUAACGAUUUACUUGAGAACUGAGCCUGAAAUUUCAGGUUGGGUCAGAAGGAACAUGUACAACUUCCCAAAGAGAUGUGAGGAUAUAAAAGAAAUCAAGUUUGGUUAAUGUGACUUCAAGUGGAAGAAAUCAGAAGAAAAACUUGAUUUUUACUCUGAAAUCUGCCUAGGAAAUAUUCAACCUUUGAAUGGUUCAAUUGGUUCAUCCAGGAAUUUUCAGCUGUUCGAUCUGGUCGAAUGCAAACUCAGAGAAGACUAUAAGUCUAUGAAACUUGGUGAAAGCCAGCAAAGAAAUUGACUAGAAACCAGACUAGUUUGGCCGAGCAAGUUGGGGCAUUUCUUGCGUUGGAUAAAGAGCGCGUUCAAAUGAUGCCGGCAACUCCAAUACCUAGGGAAAGUGAAAAAGGUUGAUUCUGUACUUUGGGUCUUCAAAGGGGCAGCUGCAUCUGAUUGAAAUGCAGAUAUAUCUUGGAGAUGAAGAGGGACUACUCAGAAUGAACCUCACAGAUCCUGCCUUGUAAUAUCAACUGCAAUGGGCAUGUGACUGGUGCAACUUUCUCGUACUUCAAAACAUUUUGAUAGGGUAAGGUCUCUUUGUGAACCUGACCAGGGUUUCAUGAUACAAUUCAAGAGGUACAGAUGCCACCCUCAUAUCAUGAUCCUCACAGCUGUUUGAUGCGGCAAAAGUGAAGCUAUCAGAAGUUUACUUAGUGAAGGAUCUUGCAAUUCAUGUAUUAUGUCAAACCUGACAUUCACCUUUCCUGGUUCCAAAGCUAAGAUUAUACAGGUACAUCUUUACAACUGGGAUGAUCAGCUAGUUUGGGUCAGGAACUUGAGAUGCAAACAGGUACUACCUCAUGAAAAGAGAGACAUGAUUUAGAAGGAAAAUGAUCUGAGCAAGAUGCUCAACAUGAUUUAUGGUUUCGAUCUUACUUUCUGUCAGUAUAUAUUGUAUAUCAGUCAAUAUAUCAGGAAUUGGAAUAGAUUGUUGCAGUAUCUGUGAUUGAACUCAGCUGCAGGAUUUUUUGAAGUUGGAUUUCAGGUAUAGUUUUCCAAAA